CGGCACUCUACUACUUUAGAAAAAGAAAGAGCCGAGCAACAGGCAGGCAAGCAAUUGGCAGCUACUGCCGAGCUCAGAAACUUGUCAUAUUUCGUUUGUUCCCCUAAAGGGGUGCGUAUGCAAACCGCCAAAGGAAGGUAAGUGAUAACACACAGAUCUGCAAGUCGGGGCCCUGGUCACAGCAGCCAACGCCGUUGUAUCUCAGAACUGCCACACAACUGCGAGGUCACGGCUCGUGGUGCACACACAAACAGUUCCUCCUCCACUUGGUCCCCGCCGACAAAGACCAACCCAGCUGCAGGCAAUCACCAGGCAAGCGGCCUCUAACCUGGCCUCCAGAACCCAUGAGUCUUCGCACCUGCCCUGGACGAUGCUGUGUCUGCUGCCUUUCAGCAACUUCUGUCAAGUGACUCCAAAUUCCAAGUUCCCAUCAGGCAUGAACACAAUCCCGUCAUGUGCUAUUGUAUGUCAAGUACAAG
rnacentral:lncRNA from 1 species